UACAGGGGGCUCGAGCGUUACGCGGAAUCACUGGGCUUAAAGGGUGCGUAGGCGGAUUAAUAAGUCAGUGGUGAAAGCCGGUAGCUUAACUAUCGAAUUGCCAUUGAAACUGUUAGUCUUGAGUAUAGUUGAGGUAGUUGGAAUGUAUCAUGUAGCGGUGAAAUGCUUAGAUAUGAUACAGAACACCGAUUGCGAAGGCAGAUUACUAAACUAUAACUGACGCUGAGGCACGAAAGCGUGGGGAUCAAACAGG
rnacentral:rRNA from 1 species